rnacentral:rRNA from 1 species
UACGUAGGUGGCAAGCGUUGUCCGGAAUUAUUGGGCGUAAAGCGCGCGCAGGCGGUCCUUUAAGUCUGAUGUGAAAGCCCACGGCUCAACCGUGGAGGGUCAUUGGAAACUGGGGGACUUGAGUACAGGAGAGAAGAGUGGAAUUCCACGUGUAGCGGUGAAAUGCGUAGAGAUGUGGAGGAACACCAGUGGCGAAGGCGACUCUUUGGCCCGUAACUGACGCUGAGGCGCGAAAGCGUGGGGAGCAAACAGG